AUAUUUAUUUAUAUUUUACGAAUACACUAAACAUAAAUUUUACAUAAAUUGCAUAUUUAUCUCAAGUUCGUCAAUGUAUAUGAGUUAUACAAGAUAUAAUUCACCAACUAUAUCACUCUUUCUUUCAUCAAAAUCGAAAAGUUUUGCUAAAUAAUCUAUGGGGAUAUCCCAUACAUAUAUUAUUUCCAUCACAUAUAUACUUUACUUUACAUACCAUGUGUUAAUUUAAAUAUAAAUUACUUUAACUACAAUAUAUCAAUUAGUUUCCUUAAGAGAUUCAAGGUGUUUCAAGAAGUUUCUUUAAAACAUAGGAAAAAAUCAAUUGCUUUUAAUACACGAAAUUGCUUUUAAUACACGAACAAUGCGAUAUGAUAAUGUUCAGCGAUUCAUAUUUGAUCUAAAAUAAUCUAAAAUAUCAUAUAUCAUGAUAGUUAUAAUUACGAUAAAUAAUAGCUGGAACUGACGUAUAUAAAAAAAAAA